UAUCUUCACUAGAUAGACUAUUUUUUUGUUUACAAUAUGUAGCCAUUGCAAUGACUUGUAGUAAAUAUUAGUUUGGAGGAGGUUGGUGGAGUAAGUCAGUCAAGCUCAUAAAGAAAAACACAGCGUUUUAAAAACGUCAGCUGUUUAAUGUUAUUUCACGUUUGGUAGUUUUAUCUGAGUUGAAAACUGUCAGCUUUGAGUUGACUUUUGAGGCACUUUUUACUCAGUUGUUCUAUGGAAACCUGUCAGGACAAAUAAAACGCUAACCAAAAGUUAUUCUGUCCAGAGUAACGUUAUCCAUGUAAGUAAUUUACCAGAUGAUAUCAAUUAACUACAUUAAUAAUGACAUUGCGUAUGAAACAAACGGUCUGCUUAAUCAGAUGAACAGACCCGCGUCAGUUAUUCAUGACUUCGCUACGCCACGAGCAACACUUGAUUCUAUUAGAAAAAGCUUUUUUAAAUGUCUCGCGUGACGUCUGGUAUAGUAAUUGAAAAAAAAAUCGCUUUGAAGUGCCACACCUUAAAGCUGACGUUUUCAGAAGAGCACCUUGUUGUUUUAAGAUCUCAUUUUGUCCAAAAUUGCGUCCUAUGACAGAUAUAAUACUUAUUUCAUUAUUGCUCUGUGUAUGUGUGGUCUUAAUCAUUUGAGGUUAUGUGUUGAUUUCACCUCUGAAUACUUCCUCUUAUAGGUCCAUCAUCCUUGCAUGUGCUACACAGCAUUGAUAAAUGCUGAAUUUGAAAGAAUCACUACUGUCUAAUGUUCCUGCGUGUCACCUGGACCUCCAAUCCAAAAACCUGAUGAAACUCUUCUAUCAGAAAGGAGGACAGCUAGCAAAAAAGGCUUCAAACAAUUAAUGAUCAAAUGACAGAUGGCAUGGAUGAAGUCAGCAUCAGUGAGGUCAUUUGAAGACACCAAUGUUGGGAUUUGUGCUCUCAAACAACAUGCUUCUUGUGAUGAAGAAGAGGAUCUUUGUAUAGUCCUGGAAGGCAUGAAGGUGUUGCAACAUCGUGCCAUGUUGUUUGAGCUGAUGUAUGCCUUAAACCUGAGCUAUCCUGAUCUCCGCUUUAUUUUUGAGGAAAUCCAAAAGAUUUUAAUGGAACUGCAUUGAGAGUAACUUUAACGAACAGUUUCUUUCAGUGAAAGGAUCAGAAAGACUGUGCUGCUCAUUUUUGACUUUGUUUAUCUGUUUUAAGUGUUUUCUCUUAUUAAUACAUUAACCGUUUGCUGCUCAGAGUCGAUUUUGGAAAUGGUUGUUGUAUUUUGUUUUUGUUGAAUCUAUGAUUAACAGUUUAUACAAAUGCUGUAGCUCUGACUUUCUGAAGGAGUGAUAUUUUCCAGUUUGUAAAUCCAUUUAAAAAAUAAUAGUACUUACUCUUUUGCAUGUCUCUUUGGAAUGCAGUGUUUGUGUUUUAGGACUUCUAAAUCUACUGUGAUAGUAACUAUUUUAAACAUUUGGGUCAGUUUCAUCCUAAUAUAACUAGGGCCUAGUCAUGAAUUAAUCUACAACCUGUUUGGGAAAUUGCCCCUUUAUGUAUGUACUGCAUGUGCUGAUUGUUGUAAUAGUUAUUGACUGUUAUUGAAUUAAUGUGUAGUGAUUUAAAUGAAUUGAUGAUCUGAAAGCAGUGGUUUGCCUCAAUAUCACUAAACAUUUGUACAAAACUCUUCACUUUUUAUGCCAAUGCAAAUGUAUUUUGUAUUUAAAAAGAAAUAAAUAACAUUUGGAUAA